rnacentral:rRNA from 1 species
GAUGAACGCUAGCGACAGGCCUAACACAUGCAAGUCGAGGGGCAGCACAUGAGUAGCAAUACGAUGGUGGCGACCGGCGCACGGGUGAGUAUCGCGUAUGCAACCUACCUUCCACAGGGGGAUAGCCUUCCGAAAGGGAGAUUAAUACCGCAUAAAACAGGGGCCCCGCAUGGGGAUAUUUGUUAAAGAUUUAUCGGUGGGAGAUGGGCAUGCGUUCCAUUAGCUAGUUGGCGGGGUAAUGGCCCACCAAGGCAUCGAUGGAUAGGGGAACUGAGAGGUUUAUCCCCCACACUGGAACUGAGACACGGUCCAGACUCCUACGGGAGGCAGCAGUGAGGAAUAUUGGUCAAUGGGCGGGAGCCUGAACCAGCCAAGUCGCGUGAAGGAAGACGGUUCUAUGGAUUGUAAACUUCUUUUGCACUGGGGUAAAACGGGGGACGUGUCCCCCCUUGCAAGUACAGUGCGAAUAAGCAUCGGCUAACUCCGUGCCAGCCGCCGCAGUAAUAC